GAUGAAGAAGUAGCGAAAUGCGAUACUUGGUGUGAAUUGCAGAAUCCCGUGAACCAUCGAGUCUUUGAACGCAAGUUGCGCCCGAAGCCAUUAGGCCGAGGGCACGCCUGCCUGGGCGUCACACGUCGUUGCCCCCCCAUCUACUCCUUCGGGAUUGCGGGGGGCGGAUGAUGGCCUCCCGUGCGCCUCGUCGCGCGGUUGGCAUAAAUGCCAAGUCCUCGGCGACGCACGCCACGACAAUCGGUGGUUGCGAAACCUCGGUUGCCCGUCGUGUGCGGUCGUCGCGCAUCGAGGGCUCGAAAAAAUUGUCGGGCUCCGGCUCGGCUUUCAACGCGACCCCAGGUCAGGCGGGGUUACCCGCUGAAUUUAAGCAUAUCAAUAAGCGGAGGA
rnacentral:misc_RNA from 1 species